CAAAUAUCUGCCCUAUCAACUUUCGAUGGUAGGAUAGAGGCUACCAUGGUUGGGCAACGGGUAACGGGGAAUAAGGGUUCGAUUCCGGAGAGGGAGCCUGAGAAACGGUACCACAUCCAAGGAAGGCAGCAGGCGCGCAAAAUUACCCAAUCCCGACACGGGGAGGUAGUGACAAUAAAUAACAAUAUAGGGCUCUUUUGGGUCUUAUAAUUGGAAUGAGUACAAUUUAAAUCACUUAACGAGGAACCAAUUGGAGGGCAAGUCUGGUGCCAGCAGCCGCGGUUAAUUCCAGCUCCAAUAGGCGUAUAUUAAAGGUUGUUGCAGGUUAAAAAGCUCGUAGUUGAAAAUUUUUGGGGCC
rnacentral:rRNA from 1 species